AUGGGCCCACCUGUCAGCAUCAAUCUUCUUCCUCCUCUCUCUCUGUCAUUUCCUCGAACACCUCAUGUGCACUCCUUCGCUCUGCCGCUCUGCCCCCGCCGGUUGGCAAGCCCGCCACCUGCGCCGCCCUCCCUCCUAGCCGAGGAGCACACCGUCCUCCUCGGCGACUGGUGGCACAAGAGCGUCUACAAACAGGCCACGGGCCUCUCCUCCAACCCCUUCGUCUUUGUCGCCGAGCCCAGUCUCCUCUCAUCAACGGCAGAGGAAUGUUCAAUUGCUCGCUCGCUCCCAGUGAAACGUGCAACGCCUCCCGCCCCGACUGCGCUCUGCCGGCUCUCUUCGCCGCCGUGCCGGGGAAGACAUACCUCUGCAUCCGCAGCCUCACCUCGAUCUCCUCGCUCUACUUCGAGAUCGAGGGCCACCCGAUGA
rnacentral:rRNA from 1 species